rnacentral:rRNA from 1 species
UACGGGGGGGGCAAGCGUUGUUCGGAAUUACUGGGCGUAAAGGGCGCGUAGGCGGCCUUCUAAGUCGAACGUGAAAUCCCUGGGCUUAACCCAGGAACUGCGUCCGAUACUGGGAGGCUUGAAUUCGGGAGAGGGAUGCGGAAUUCCAGGUGUAGCGGUGAAAUGCGUAGAUAUCUGGAGGAACACCGGUGGCGAAGGCGGCAUCCUGGACCGGUAUUGACGCUGAGGCGCGAAAGCUAGGGGAGCAAACGGG